rnacentral:rRNA from 1 species
GGACGCCAGUUCAUGUGGAGCCAACGUUGAAAUACCACUCUGGUCGUACUAGAUGUCUAACCUAGGUCCGUUAUCCGGAUCAGGGACAGUGCCUGAUGGGUAGUUUAACUGGGGCGGUUGCCUCCUAAAGAGUAACGGAGGCGCCCAAAGGUUCCCUCAGAAUGGUUGGAAAUCAUUCGCAGAGUGUAAAGGCACAAGGGAGCUUGACUGUGAGACAGACAUGUCGAGCAGGGACGAAAGUCGGGACUAGUGAUCUGACGGUGGCUUGUGGAUGCGCCGUCACUCAACGGAUAAAAGGUACCCCGGGGAUAACAGGCUGAUCUUGCCCGAGCGUCCAUAGCGACGGCAUGGUUUGGCACCUCGAUGUCGGCUCGUCGCAUCCUGG